GGAGGGAUGGCCGAGUGGUUGAAGGCGGCGGUCUUGAAAACCGCUGUACCGAGAGGUACCGUGGGUUCGAAUCCUACUCCCUCCGCCA
rnacentral:tRNA from 2 species